rnacentral:rRNA from 1 species
GAUGAACGCUAGCGGCAGGCUUAACACAUGCAAGUCGAGGGGUAACAGAGGUAGCUUGCUACUUGCUGACGACCGGCGCACGGGUGCGUAACGCGUAUAGAAUCUGCCUUACACUGAGGGAUAGCCUUUGGAAACGAAGAUUAAUACCUCAUGGUAUCAUUAGAUGGCAUCAUUUAAUGAUUAAAGGUUACGGUGUAAGAUGACUAUGCGUCCUAUUAGCUUGUUGGUAAGGUAACGGCUUACCAAGGCUACGAUAGGUAGGGGCCCUGAGAGGGGGAUCCCCCACACUGGUACUGAGACACGGACCAG